GAAGUAUAUAAAGAAAAAGACAGGCCGUUACAUUAUUUCUUGCCAAAAUAACGAGUACAAGAUUCUUGAGGGAGGUCUGUUAUUCGGCAUCUCCGAGAAUAGAAGCUCCUGCACCUCACAGGACAGCUGUUCUACGGCAUGCAGGAGACACUGGGAGAAGGAGGGAUGGGGCGCACUAAGAGGACGGAGCAAAAUCAUGUCUGGAUCAAGUGAGAAGCCCUAGCCCUGCUCCUCCCAUCAAUCCUGUUAUUUUAGUACUUCAGAGGCCCUGGGAAAGAUGUAAUGAAAGUAAGACUGCAAAGAAAAGGAGGCUGGAGAAGCUACAGCAACUUGCUAAUGAGAAGUACAAUGCUAUUGAUCAGUACCUGCUCAGUGGAGAUGAAAAGGAAUGCUGAGAGUCUACACUGUAGACCGCAAUCUGCUAAACAUAUGCAUAGGUAACUGUAUGCACAUGAAUUGUUCCGUUGAGGUUAGG